AGCAGCCGCCGCGGGAAUACGGAGGGUGCAAGCGUUAAUCGGAAUUACUGGGCGUAAAGCGCACGCAGGCGGUUUGUUAAGUCAGAUGUGAAAUCCCCGAGCUUAACUUGGGAACUGCAUUUGAAACUGGCAAGCUAGAGUCUUGUAGAGGGGGGUAGAAUUCCAGGUGUAGCGGUGAAAUGCGUAGAUAUAGGAAGGAACACCAGUGGCGAAGGCGACCACCUGGACUGAUACUGACACUGAGGUGCGAAAGCGUGGGGAGCAAACAGGAUUAGAUACCCCAGUAGUCCCUGUCUCUUAUAC
rnacentral:rRNA from 1 species